UGCAAGGAUUUUAAAGAAUUGAGAUAUGCUCUAGUCUUCAAAAAGCCUUCUCCCCCACUCACUGACUUCAAAUAUGCAUCUUUAAAAUUCAUUCAAUUUGUGUGAUUGUGCACAGAGGUGUUUUUCUCCAAAUGUCCACUGGCACACUUUGCUUUCAUCAUCUAAUAUUCCUGUUUCCUCCUUUCAGGUCAUGGUGACUUCCCUUCACAGUCUCCAGCUGAACCUUCCUAGUCACUGACGGCUCUGGUAGGUUCUUGAUGCAACCCCUCUCAUUCCCCAUUCUUCUCUAUGAGUUCUGCUAGGUUAGUACCCCAAGUAGGCUAAAUUUCUCAACAGCACGAUCAGCUAUAGGCUUUAUUAACUUUACCUGUCUCUUUGAAACCUUUGAAAUUAAAAGAAUAUAAAGGUAAAAACUAAUGCUACCCAACAUUAAAAUAGUAGUAAUAAUGAAAUCUACAUACCACUUGUACAUCUGAAGGGACUCUAGAAAGGAAGUCAAGCAGUUCAUUGUUGUCAAUUGCAUAGGGACACCGAAGCUUUUUUGUAAAUUUAUUGAUGCCUGAAAAAGUGAUAGAUUUUUGAAAUCUCCAAAGUUUGUUGUAGAAAACACAUUUCUGGCAAAUGUAUUAAAGUGAUUCGAAGGUCUCUAGAUUAAGGUGCCAUUUAACCUUGAAUGAACCAAUAAAUCCUACUGUCUUUCUUCCUUCCCUGUACCCUUCCUCUCUCCUUCCCAACCCAAUGGAUGCUGUUUUUCUCUUUGUAUUUUAGUGGCUUCCUUUGCAUUUGGGAAACAAAAGCCACCUGACAAGAAUAGUCAAUGACCUUAUUUGCUUCUCCCCUCAGUGUUACUGUACGUAGCAGCUUUGCUUUAGUGUCCCAUCUAUGAUGAAAAUUGUCUUCCUGCAUUUUUGGUUGGGAUUGUUUUUAAGGCAAGAAGUCUCAUUUAUUGAUUUUCUCUUUUUCAAAAGAUAAAGUGUGUGUGGGGGGGGGGGGGGCGGGGAGGUGUCACUGUUAUGCAGGCUAAAUGUGUAGAAGACCUUGAUUUUAUUUCAAAGUUACUUUAAAUGAGAAAGGAUUUAUCACCGGCUCUGAAGAUGGCGGUAUAAAAGGAUCCUGAACUCCCAUGGACACACCAGAUCUACAGUUGCUUAUGGGAAAACUUUCUCUGAAAACUGGCUGAGUGAAUACUACACAUUGGAUGGACAAGAAAAGGCCCACAUGGAAACAGGGUCUGACUUUUUGGACUUUAUCAUUUUCCUCCCAUGGCUAGAGUGAGCGACUUAUAACUUGCCAGGAAGGAAAUUGACAGAACUUUCAUAAAACCAAAGGCUGACAGAAACAAAGUAAAUGAUGAUGAAACUGAGCAAUAGAUCAUCCAGAAGGAGUGUCCCCUGCCAAAACGAACUGGCAUUUCACCCUCUGAGAAACAAAUGGACACUCUGUCUCCACAGAAGGCCAGGUCCACGUGUCAGCACCACUUACUUCUUUA